CUUACCGAUGCACAUACACUAUUAAUAGUAAUAUUUAUGCAUUUUAAUUCUGACACUAUGGAUAUUUUAUUCACAUGUAUGUGCACAUCGAUUUUAUAUGUACAGCUGUACCUGUGUAACUUCAAAGCCCCUGUAACGAUCUACUUUCCCAUUCACUCACUAUUAAUGUGGGAAAGAGUGUUUCAUGGACUGUAUAUUUUAAUUACAUUUUCAGGAUAAUGACAAAUGAUGUAAUGUCCCUUAUGAAUAUAAAGGGCAAAGAGGGAAGAUGGCAUUUGGCACGACAUCAGUGUUUCAGGCAGUGAUAGCAAGUGCAGUUCAUCAAUUUAAUGCGACGGAACACGAAGUCCAAGAGGCUGUUGCGAAGUACCUUAAAUAUGCAUCAGACCGGAGAGGUGGAGGUGGCCGGGUCGAAAAAUAAUUAAUGGAAUCAAAUGAUAACUUUGAUUUAUAUUUCAGGGCGUCAAGUUUCCUUUAAGUUCCUAUAUUUGGGGGUUAUUCCUAUAAAUUCCUAUAUUUCCACAAAAAUUCCUAUAUUUCUGUGAAAUUCCUAUAGAUUCCUAUAUUUUAGGGUAAGCGAAAAAUGUUGGAUUCUGAAGCAAAACCAGUACUGUAUAUUACAAACAAUUUGUGUCAUCUAUUUGUAACUAUACAACAUUUACUUCAAAAAGGUGCUAUAUUUCUGAGGUUUGUCCUAUAUUUUUUGGACCAAAAUUCACUUGACGCCCUGAUAUUUGAUAGUGUUACUGACUGAAUAUUAUUUCAUGAACAAUGAAUAAAGAAGGAAAAUGACAA